UACGUAGGGCGCAAGCGUUGUCCGGAAUUAUUGGGCGUAAAGAGCUCGUAGGCGGUUCGGCAAGUCGGGUGUGAAACCCCCAGGCUCAACCUGGGGACGCCACCCGAUACUGCUGUGACUUGAGUCCGGUAGGGGAGCGUGGAAUUCCUGGUGUAGCGGUGAAAUGCGCAGAUAUCAGGAGGAACACCAGCGGCGAAGGCGGCGCUCUGGGCCGGAACUGACGCUGAGGAGCGAAAGCGUGGGUAGCAAACAGG
rnacentral:rRNA from 1 species